rnacentral:rRNA from 1 species
UGGGGAAUAUUGGACAAUGGGCGCAAGCCUGAUCCAGCCAUGCCGCGUGAGUGAUGAAGGCCCUAGGGUUGUAAAGCUCUUUCAGGAGGGACAGGUUCAUCGGUGAAUAGCCGUGUGGAUUGACGGUACCUUCAGAAGAAGCUCCAGCUAACUAC